GAUGAACGCUGGCGGCGGGCCUAAUACAUGCAAGUCGAGCGAACGGACGGGAAGCUUUCGUCCCUGAUGUUAGCGGCUGACGGGUGAGUAACACGUGGAUAACCUACCUAUAAUACUGGGAUAACUUCGGGAAACCGGAGCUAAUACCGGAUAAUACUUUCAACCGCAGGGUGCAAAAGAUAAAGACGGUUUUGCUGUCACUUAUAGAUGGAUCCGCGCUGCAUUAUCUAGUUGGUAAGGUAACGGCCUACCAAGGCAACGAUGCAUAGCCGACCUGAGAGGGUGAUCGGCCACACUGGAACUGAGACACGGUCCAGACUCCUACGGGAGGCAGCAGUGGGGAAUCUUCCACAAUGGGCGCAAGCCUGACGCAGCAACGCCGCGUGAGUGAUGAAGGUCUUCGGAUCGUAAAACUCUGUUAUUAGGGAAGAACAUAUGUGUAAGUAACUGUCCACAUCUUGACGGUACCUAAUCAGAAAGCCCCGGCUAACUACGUG
rnacentral:rRNA from 1 species